CUCCUUUUGAUACACUAACUGUUGUUGGGGUUAAUUUAAAGCUAACCCAUCAAGGGAUCUAGUACAGGAAACUCCACUACUUCACAAUUCUUACUAUAAAUUGAACCCUUGACUAUAGUAAAACUUAAAAGAGGCAGGCAAAUUGAUAAGCAAUGCCAACGAAGCCACUUUCAUUGUCUUUCUUUAAAAGUAUGAGUCUUAGGGUAAAACCAUUUUGGUUAGAAUUAGGAUAUUUCAUGAUCCUUUCAUUUUUAGGUUUCUUAGCUUUGAAUUACGUUUCAAAACCUAGAACUCUACCGCUAUUUCGUCCUCAAAACCUAGAUGUAUUUUUCACUUCUGUUUCUUCUAUCACAGUUUCUAGUAUGUCCACUGUUGAAAUGGAAGUUUUCUCAAAUGUCCAACUUGUUUUCAUGGCCAUCUUGAUGUUUCUUGGUGGGGAAGCUUUUACUUCUUUUCUUAGACUUCAACUCUUCAAGAAAGAAAACAAAGAUGACUCUUUUAGUAGCAAAGAUUAUGAGCUAGGAAAUGUAAUAAUAAACCCUCUCGAGGAUAGUCGUGAUCACGAUGAAAUUAUCAAGAUGAAAUCGAUAAGAUUGUUGAGUUACGUUGUCUUUGCAUAUAUUUUUGUUCUUCUUCUUCUUGGUUCUUCGUUAGUUUUUCUCUAUAUAACAAUCAUUCCAAGCGCGAAACAAAUCCUUAUAGAAAAAGGCCUUAACGUAAAUACUUUUUCAAUAUUUAUCACUGUUUCAACAUUUGCAAAUGGUGGUUUUGUCCCUACAAACGAAAACAUGAUUGUUUUCAAGAAAAAUCCAGGCCUUCUCCUCAUUCUUAUACCUCAAGUCCUUCUUGGAAACACUUUGUUUGCUCCUUGUUUACGCCUCGCUAUUUUGUUUUUAUGGAAAAUUACUAAGAGGCAUGAAUUUGUGUAUAUUUUGAAGAACUCGAAACGUGUUGGAUAUUCACAUAUUUUUCCAAGUUUUGAAACAAUUGCUAUUGCAAUUACUGUUGUGGGAUUAAUAGUAGUGCAAUUUGUAGUGUUUUAUUCAUUGGAAUGGAAUUCGGAAGCCACUGCUGGAUUGAGUAGUUAUGAAAAGAUUGUGGGAUCUUUGUUUGAGGUUGUGAAUACAAGGCAUACUGGUCUAUCUGUAUUUGAUCUUUCAACUUUAACUCCAGCAAUCUUAGUAUUGUUCACCAUAAUGAUGUAUGUAUCACCCUAUACUACUUUUUUGCCUGUUGACAAUUAUGAAGAGAAGUCAGAAAAAAUGAAGAUGAGAAAAGGGGGAAGCUUGAUGGAAUACAUAUCAUUCUCCCAACCUUCUUGUUUGGUCAUUUUUACCAUUCUUAUUUGUGUUGUGGAGAAAGACAAGAUGAAAUAUGAUCCACUGAACUUCAAUGUACUCAACAUUGUCUUUGAAGUCAUCAGUGCAUAUGGGAAUGUUGGAAUGUCAAUAGGCUAUAGUUGUGCAAGGCAAAUAAAACCAGAUGGCCAUUGCAAGGAUGCUACAUAUGGAUUUGCUGGAAAAUGGAGUAAUACGGGAAAGUUCAUUUUGAUAAUUCUCAUGUUCUUUGGAAAGAUGAAGAAGUACAAUCAAUUAAUCUGAAAGUUGGUUAACUUCCUUGUAUAUUGAAGUUCCUUCAUUUGAACUUUCCGUAUCUUUGGUUUUUAUAUGAGGGAGGAUGAAGAAGAGGUGCCACAACAGAACUGUAACAUGGCAUUCUCUGCUCAAAUGGGAAGGGGGAGAGGAAACUACUCUCGUGGAAAAGGAAACAACAACUUCAAUUUCAAAAAAAGACGCUUCAAACCUACUGCACAAGGAACAGGUUCUCAAAACACCCAAAGUUCCCAAAUGGAAAUAAGGAUAGGAAUAGUACUGAGUCAUGUCAAAUAUGUGGUAAAAAUAACCAUACUUCUCUUAAGAGUUUUUACAUAUGGGACUACUCUUAUCAAUCUGCAGAUGAACUACCACAAGCAUUGGUUGUUGUAAACCUACAGAAUGCAUCUGCUACUAAUGACACUCUGUAUGUAGAGUCAGGAGCAAGUAGUCAUGUGAAACAUAACUCAAGUAUUCUACCUGAUCUUAAACACUACAAUGGACCAGAUAAAAUCAUUGUUGGGAAUGUAUCACGACUAGACAUAACACAUGUUGGGAAUGCAACUAGAUCAGGGAUGAAAUUACAAGAAGUCCUUGUAGUCCCUAAGAUUACUAAGAAUCUACUCUCAGUUAGUAAACUUGCAAAGGAUAAUUAUUGCACUCUUGAAUUUGAUGAAACUGAUUUUGUUAUAAAGGAUAAGAAGACAAGGACACUAUUGGCCAAGGGAUAUAAAAGGAGUGGACUUUAUGCUUUGGAAGAUAAAAAUCUCUAUGUUUUUACUGCUGCACACGUUUGGAACACAUCAGAGAACGUGUGGCAUACUAGAUUAGGAAAACGUAGUUUGAAGUCAUUAAAAGUUUUGAAUAGUAAUAGUUGCAUCAAUGUUAGUAGUUGGAAUAGAAUGCCUUAUGUUCUAGUUGCCAGUUGGGCAAAAGUAGUAAACUUUCAUUUGGCUUGAGAAAUAAAAUUGAGAAGGAACAUUUAUUGAAAAUU